UACGUAGGAUCCAAGCGUUGUCCGGAUUUCCUGGGUGUAAAGGGUGCGCAGGCGGACUUGUUAGUCAGAGGUGAAAUCUCACGGCUCAACCGUGAAACUGCCUUUGAUACUGCAGGUCUUGAAUUGGGGAGAGAGUUGUGGAAUUCCGAGUGUAGCAGUGAAAUGUGUAGAUAUUCGGAAGAACACCAGUGGCGAAGGCAGCAACUUGGCCCUAUAUUGACGCUCAGGCACGAAAGCAUGGGGAUCAAACAGG
rnacentral:rRNA from 1 species